GAUGAACGCUGGCGGCGUGCUUAACACAUGCAAGUCGAGCGAGGGAGCACCUUCGGGUGUGAACUAGCGGCGGACGGGUGAGUAACACGUGGGCAACCUGCCUUACAGAGGGGGAUAGCCUUCCGAAAGGAAGAUUAAUACCGCAUAUUAUGGUUUUUCUGCAUGGGAAAGUCAUGAAAGGAGCAAUCCGCUGUAAGAUGGGCCCGCGGCGCAUUAGCUAGUUGGUGAGGUAACGGCUCACCAAGCCUUCGAUGGAUAGGGGUUCUGAGAGGAACGGUCCCCCACAUUGGAACUGAGACACGGUCCAA
rnacentral:rRNA from 1 species